rnacentral:tRNA from 1 species
AGGGCCGUAACCCCCGUAGUUGCUGUAUUCCAGCGCACGUUCGCCGGUCUCCAAAACCGGAGGUUCCGGGUUCGAAUCCCGGCGCCCCUGCCA